AUUGAACGCUGGCGGCAGGCCUAACACAUGCAAGUCGAGCGAGCGGAGGAAGGGUGAGGACUGUAUGGAGACUGCCCGAUAGAGGGGGAUAACUACUGGAAACGGUAGCUAAUACCGCAUACUAUCGGAUAACCCAUAUGGGAUUAGCUAGUAGGUGAGGUAAUGGCUCACCUAGGCGACGAUCCAUAGCUGGUCGGAGAGGAUGAUCAGCCACACUGGGACUGAGACACGGCCCAGACUCCUACGGAGGCAGCAGGGGGGAAUAUUGCACAAUGGGCGCAAGCCUGAUACAGCCAUGCCGCGUGUAUGAAGAAGGCCCUAGGGUUGUAAAGGACUUUCAGUCGUGAGGCGUUACCGACAGAAGAAGCACCGGCUAACUCCGUGCCAGCAGCCGCGGUAAUUC
rnacentral:rRNA from 1 species